ensembl:lncRNA
GAUUUGCCAGAAGACCCUUGGCAACUUCACCGUAUGCUUCAUUGUUUAGACCUGGGUCACAUGACCACCCUGGCUGCAAAGGAGGCUGGGAAUACAAUUAUCUGCCUAUUUCAACCUAUAGGAAGAUGGAGGCUGUGAUGGUCAGUUAAAUAGCCAACCAGAAGUGUCUGCCAUGGUUGCAAAAGAAACAAUGGCUCUUGUCAUAACUGAAAGGUCCUAGUGUUCUAAGGGUUUAGGUGAAAGUCUCAGGUCACAGGGCUAUUGCCACUGGGGAAGAAAAACAAGCUUCUGCUCAAGACCAGCCAGGAACAACAAAAAUGCCAGCAGCCUGGUAGUCAUAUCUUUCAACCAGUCACUGGAGUGUCUGUGCAAGAGCAGUUCUUAUUAAAUUAUUCAUCCUGAUUUAAUGGGAAGGAAAUCAAAUGCAACAGAUUCUUCUGUGGUGCCAGGAUUUUGAAUUCCAAUGAAGUCCAACAUUUUUGGGUGUUGGGUGCUAAAUGAGACAGAUGCUCUCCUGGGCCCGUGAAAGAUGAAUCAGACAUGUUCUCUGCUUUUGAGGCUCACAGCUGUGCCUGGAGGCUGACUGCUGGAAAACCAGAGUGUAAAGUAAUAAGUACCACCAUGGAGGAAUCAUGUCAGGAUCUUCUCUUGCAUUAUCUCAGUCAUUCAUUUCUUGAGAACAAUGUUUGUCAAGCUUCCUGCUAUGUGACCACACUGUUCCUGGCACUGGAGAUACCUCUGGGUACAAGAUAAAGUCCCUAAUUUUUACCUGGGAGUGAGGAUACCAUGAGAAAGCAGCUGUCUGCAACAAGGGGAAGAGACUUCACAAGAACCUGAGCAUGCCUACACCCUGAUCUAGACUUGCAGUUUCCAGAACAGUGAGAAAUAAAUUUCUGUUGUUGAUAAGCCCCUGCCACUCUGUGUUAUUUUGUUAUAGCAGUCUGAGCUGACUAUGACAUGGCCCCUUGCUUACCUUCACUUAAUCUUACGGGUCACAUUGGUCUCAUGCUGUCUGAAUCCUUUACCAGACUUGGUACAAAGGCAGUGCUGGGCACAGGUCCAGUUGAAGAACUUGGCCUUCAUCAUUGUCUUUUAACCAAAGCACAAUGUCAGCUUUGUCUCUUUUAUUAUGCUGAUAGCCUGCACUAAUCAAAUUUAACAUUUCUGUCCUUCUAUUCAUUUUCUAUAGCUAUCAUUCCUUUAAUAUUUU